GCCAGGAUAGCAUAGUGGUUUGAGUGUUGGACUAUGACUCUGGAGACCGGGGUUCAAUUCCUUAGUUGGCU
rnacentral:tRNA from 1 species